rnacentral:rRNA from 1 species
GAUGAACGCUGGCGGCGUGCCUAAUACAUGCAAGUCGAGCGAACAGACGAGGAGCUUGCUCCUCUGACGUUAGCGGCGGACGGGUGAGUAACACGUGGAUAACCUACCUAUAAGACUGGGAUAACUUCGGGAAACCGGAGCUAAUACCGGAUAAUAUAUUGAACCGCAUGGUUCAAUAGUGAAAGACGGUUUUGCUGUCACUUAUAGAUGGAUCCGCGCCGCAUUAGCUAGUUGGUAAGGUAACGGCUUACCAAGGCAACGAUGCGUAGCCGACCUGAGAGGGUGAUCGGCCACACUGGAACUGAGACACGGCCCAGACUCCUACGGGAGGCAGCAGUAGGGAAUCUUCCGCAAUGGGCGAAAGCCUGACGGAGCAACGCCGCGUGAGUGAUGAAGGUCUUCGGAUCGUAAAACUCUGUUAUUAGGGAAGAACAAAUGUGUAAGUAACUAUGCACAUCUUGACGGUACCUAAUCAGAAAGCCACGGCUAACUACGUG